rnacentral:rRNA from 1 species
GAAUCUUCCGCAAUGGACGAAAGUCUGACGGAGCAACGCCGCGUGAGCGAUGAAGGCCUUCGGGUCGUAAAGCUCUGUUGUUAGGGAAGAACAAGUAUCGUUCGAAUAGGGCGGUACCUUGACGGUACCUAACCAGAAAGCCACGGCUAACUACGUGCCAGCCGCCGCGGUAAUACGUAGGUGGCAAGCGUUGUCCGGAAUUAUUGGGCGUAAAGCGCGCGCAGGCGGUCCUUUAAGUCUGAUGUGAAAGCCCACGGCUCAACCGUGGAGGGUCAUUGGAAACUGGGGGACUUGAGUUCAGAAGAGGAAAGUGGAAUUCCACGUGUAGCGGUGAAAUGCGUAGAGAUGUGGAGGAACACCAGUGGCGAAGGCGACUUUCUGGUCUGUAACUGACGCUGAGGCGCGAAAGCGUGGGGAGCAAACAGG